AGCAGCCACGGUAAUACGUAGGUGGCAAGCGUUGUCCGGAAUUAUUGGGCGUAAAGGGCUCGCAGGCGGUUUCUUAAGUCUGAUGUGAAAGCCCCCGGCUCAACCGGGGAGGGUCAUUGGAAACUGGGAAACUUGAGUGCAGAGGAGGAGAGUGGAAUUCCACGUGUAGCGGUGAAAUGCGUAGAGAUGUGGAGGAACACCAGUGGCGAAGGCGACUCUCUGGUCUGUAACUGACGCUGAGGAGCGAAAGCGUGGGGAGCGAACAGGAUUAGAUACCCCAGUAGUCCCUGUCUCUUAUACA
rnacentral:rRNA from 1 species